rnacentral:rRNA from 1 species
UACGAGGGGGGCAAGCGUUGUUCGGAAUUAUUGGGCGUAAAGGGUGCGUAGGCUGUGCGGUAAGUCACCUGUGAAAACUCUGGGCUCAACCCAGAGCCUGCAGGCGAAACUGCCGUGCUGGAGUAUGGGAGAGGUGCGUGGAAUUCCCGGUGUAGCGGUGAAAUGCGUAGAUAUCAGGAGGAACACCGGUGGCGAAGGCGGCUCUCCGGACGGAUACUGACGCUGAGGCGCGAAAGCGUGGGGAUCAAACAGG